rnacentral:rRNA from 1 species
GACGAACGCUGGCGGCGUGCUUAACACAUGCAAGUCGAACGGAAAGGCCCUGCUUUUGUGGGGUGCCCGAGUGGCGAACGGGUGAGUAACACGUGAGUAACCUGCCCUUGCCUUUGGGAUAACUUCAGGAAACUGGGGCUAAUACCGGAUAGGAGCUCCUGCUGCAUGGUGGGGGUUGGAAAGUUUCGGCGGUUGGGGAUGGACUCGCGGCUUAUCAGCUUGUUGGUGGGGGAGUGGCUUACCAAGGCUUUGACGGGUAGCCGGCCUGAGAAGGUUACAGGAAACAUUGGGACUGAGGUACGGGGCAGACUGCGACGUGAGGCCGAAGUGGGGCAGAUUGCGCCAUGGGCGGAGGCCUGUUGCAUCCACGCCGCGAGCCGGAUGGCGGCCUUCGGGUUGUAAUCGGCUUUCGCCUGUCACGAAGCGUGAGUGACGGUAAUGGGUAAAGAAGCACCGGCUAAGUGCGUGCCAGACGCCGCCGUAACAG